GGAGCGGAACAGGCGCUGCUCCUCAGCAGUUCUGUGUUUGUGAAUGGACGCGGUGUGGGCGCCGGGAGCCCGCUCCGCCAGGAGGACCCCCCGGGUGACGGCCAUUGGCAUUCCCGUGUCCGUCCCUGUGAUACCGCCGGGAACGGAGCGCGCUGGGCCCCGCCCCGCCAUACGGGUCCUUCAUUCAUCAUUUUCGGAAGGAAUUGUGCGUGUCAGGGCUGUCACUGCAAACUCUACAGGCUUCCCGAAGUGAGAUGCAAAUGAGACUGCAGCCAAAGGCAAUAUUUUUAAAAGGUUUUUUUUUUUAAGAUUUCAACGGACUGAUGAUGCUCUUUUUUUUAGGAGUGGCGUUGCGCUAAGUGCCUGUGUGCACGUUUGCUCAGUCCAUUGCUCAGCGUCCAGCUUGACCGACAGUGUCAAGAUAACAGCCCUGGCAAAGAUGCUUCAUUUUAGACCGGGAUAAAAGCUGUCCUUUCUAAUUUUGAGCAAAAGACUAUUUUAGGAGAAACACCUGUGCUUACCUGUUAUCUUCCACCGAUACUGUAGACAAGCUGUCCUCUCACCUGUAGAGAUUCAAGGUCAAAUCUUCAGCUGUAGGGGCUUUCACCCUGUUUACACUUUUCCCCUCUGAAGCCAAGAGGAGAAAAGCUUUCCCCUCUGUGCACUCACAAAUAGACAUGAUACCAGUGCAGCUGUUCUUUCCUCACAUUUGCCUACGUUAACUCUUUGCUUGGGAGGGAAACUGGUAUCUGGCUGUCCACCCACCAUUUCUUUUACUGGGUAGAAUGUCCACUUCUUAUCCUCUGAAAUCUCUCUCUCCAAGUUGUAGUACGUGGUAGGUAGGAAAUCUGUGUCUUAAAAUGGACAGAGAAGUACCUGAAUACCUUUCUAUCCAGUCCUCUAAAUCACAGUAAAUCCUACAGUAGAUAAUUCAGCUUUACAGCUGGACUCAAUGAUCUUAAAGGUAUUUUCUAACCUAAAUGAUUCUAUGAUCCUUCUCAAGCUGUUUGCUCCAUAUUGCUGGUUCUGUUUAUGGGUGAAUUGUUUGUGGUGUCUGCAGGUGCCUGGUAGCUGAAUACUGUCUCAUCUUUAUUCAAGAAAGCUCACAGUACACUGAUUGCAGGCUCAUGUGAUUCUGAGGAGAGAAAUGCAUGUAAUCUAAUGCUCUUUACAAAGAUAUUUUUGAGGAACUUUUUUACUAUAAGUGAAAUCUGAUGUAGAACAGUGCACAUGUUGGUAUCUCUGAGGAGCUGAUUUCUGCUGCUUGAAAAAUCUAUAUUCAAGGUUAAUCCGGGAUUUAUUCAUGGACCUUCUUAAAGAAGGGCAGGAGUGCUUCUAAAGAAAGUUUUAAUGACUACUAGUGCUUUAUAGUAUCAUCCUUAAUGCCUUAUAAUAUUACCCUUAAAGAUGCAUUACGUACCUUUUUUUAUGUUUGCCCAGUGGUGCAGAGCUUGUGGCAUGUGUAGUCAAUGCUUUGAUUCUAUUUUUAACGUGUCCUGUUCAAAUAACACUUAAGCAACUGGAAAAAAUCCUCUCUUUCCAUAUGUGGUGCUGAAAAUUACAGUUCUGCUUCUUAUUUUGGUUUGUGCACUCGCAUGGAAUAAGGAAUGUCCCAGACAUUGUAUCUGUGCAAGUGGAAGACACAGCACAUUCCUUAGAUAUUAGUAAUAAAGUGGAUUGAAGCAUUCUGACAGUUAAUUAACAAACAAGGGUAGAAUCAGAAGCUCAAACUUUGAUUGACAUCUAUUGGGUUCUUGAGUGAGAUACACAGUAGGAAUUCCACUAAUAAUAGCAUAUAACAAGGUCUGCAUUGCUAUUUAGCUUUCAAUUUAAUUAGGGAAGUCAACACAGACUGACUGAGCUGCUACACAAGCCAGCUAAAGUGAAAAAAUAUUAGCAAGUCUCUGUAUAUGAAUGCAGGUUUCAGUAUUGCACACAAAGUGCUUCAUGUCAAUGAUUCUCUUGUAUGCCUGGGUUGGCCACUUAACAGGUAUUUCAAUGUAAGUCAAGGAAAAGAAACAGAUUUUAAGAUGGUUUUAUGACAUAUUUGCGUGAACAUUCAGGAAGUCUGAAAUCUAGAUGGCAAUAUCAAUAUGAUUUAUUGUAUUUUCUUCUUCACUUGGUCACUAUUUAUCACUAGAAGCAGAACAAGCGUGGAGGGUAAGGACUUCAUUUUGCAAACAAGACCAAAACUUUUCCUUACUAUUGCAGAGCAAUGAAACUCUUGAAAUUUCUUUGCACAUCUAGUGCGAAACAUAGGACUUCAUGUAGAAUGUAUGUUGACUGUAAAGACCUUUUUCUUAUUUAUUUGAAAACAUAUCAUUAAAAACAUUGCUUAAAAAUAGGAAAUUAGAUAAUUAAGGAAGAAAAGGUAUUUUUAGGAUGUCUAGAGGUCGCUGGUUACUGAUGCCAUUCCAGGCUGAUCAGUUGCAGUAGUUAAUAACUGGAGUAAGACUACAAGGGAUUGAAAUGAAAUGUACAACUACAUGUAUUUAAUUCUGUUUAUACAUAUGAAAAAUGCAAGUGACCCUUGUUGAAGUUACUCAUUCACAUGGGUCAAGAUUUUUCUAAUGAAAAUGGUUUCUCUCAGGGAACAUGCAUUCAUCAAAAUGAAAGUGUACAGCAGAGAUCACUUGGUUUGAUCAAAGACUGAAGGCAAAACAAGCAACCUUUUGGCAUCCCACCAGCUGGGCUGCUGGGCCUCUUGGCAGGCCUCCUCAGAGCUGGCAGGAGCUGAAAUCUUUAGCACAUACAAGCUGCCAGUGCCCAGCUUGAAAGUCCUCAACACUGCUGGCUUCCAAGGAUUACUUGGGGAAUCUGGCACUGAAAAGACUUUGUUUGUAAUAUCAGCAUGAGAGUCACCUUUAUCUGUUGGAUGAAUAAUAACUAGAAUGGCUUUAUCAUUGUUAAGAAGACAGCACAUAGGAAAUGAGACAAUAUGUAUAUAUUUUUUCUACCUAAGAUAGAGAAAGUAUGAGCUCAAUUUAUGUAAGAAUUUGGUAUCAACUGAAGUACAUUGCUGUUUCCAUAAUACAGGGAUUACUCACCAUCUUUCAAAACAAAAAAAAAAUCUUGAAGGGUUUGGUUGUUGGUUUUUUUUUUGUUAUAAAAUACAGUUUAUUUUCUGCAUUGCAUGUCAGGUGAAACCUUUGUUUUCUUGGACAUAAGCAGCUGACUUACUGCCUGUCUCACAAGUUGAAUGUGUCAGAAGAACUAUGAUGGACUGUUCCCCGGGGGAAGGGGUGCAGCAACUGAGGGCAGCAGCAAGACUGACAGGACAGUGUACUCACCAGCACAGUCCCACAGUGCCUGAGAGCUUGUUUGCCUUGCAGUGUGGAAGAAUCAUCACAUGCGGACCGUUACCAACUAUUUCAUAGUGAAUCUUUCUCUGGCUGACAUUCUGGUCACAAUUACUUGUCUUCCAGCAACUUUAGUUGUGGACAUCACAGAAACGUGGUUCUUUGGGCAGACCCUCUGUAAAGUGAUUCCCUACUUACAGACAGUUUCUGUCUCUGUGUCUGUCCUAACACUCAGCUGCAUUGCUUUGGAUCGAUGGUAUGCAAUUUGUCACCCUUUGAUGUUUAAAAGCACAGCCAAGCGAGCAAGGAACAGCAUUAUAAUUAUCUGGAUUGUGUCCUGCAUCAUAAUGAUUCCUCAGGCUAUUGUUAUGGAGUGCAGCAGCGUGUUCCCAGGAUUAGCCAAUAAAACCACCUUGUUCACAGUGUGUGAUGAGCACUGGGGAGCUGAGGUUUACCCCAAAAUGUAUCACACAUGCUUUUUUCUGGUGACAUACAUGGCACCACUGUGUCUUAUGGUGUUGGCCUAUUUGCAAAUAUUCCGAAAGCUGUGGUGUCGCCAGAUCCCAGGGACUUCUUCUGUUGUUCAGAAGAAAUGGAAGCCUCAGCAGCCCUCAGCACAGCCCCGUGGGCUGGGACAAUCAACAAAGUCAAAGAUUAGUGCUGUGGCAGCUGAAAUAAAACAGAUUCGUGCAAGAAGGAAAACAGCACGUAUGCUAAUGGUUGUCCUUCUGGUUUUUGCACUUUGCUAUCUACCAAUCAGCAUCCUCAAUGUCUUGAAAAGGGUUUUUGGGAUGUUUAAUCAUGCUGAUGACAGAGAAACUGUAUAUGCCUGGUUCACAUUCUCACACUGGCUUGUAUAUGCAAACAGUGCAGCCAAUCCUAUUAUUUAUAACUUCCUCAGUGGGAAAUUUAGAGAAGAAUUUAAAGCAGCAUUUUCCUGUUGCAUCCUUGGCAUUCGCAGCCACCAUGACGAACGGUUCACCAGAGGUCGUGCCAGUACAGAGAGUCGGAAAUCCUUGACCACCCAGAUCAGCAAUUUUGAUAACAUUUCAAAACUUUCAGAACAGGUUGCAUUGUCCAACGUAAACACAAUUCCAUCAAAUGAUAUCCCAGCCAUGCUCAGCCCAUUGAAGUCAGCGGAACUGCAUCUCCACAUACCCGGGAUGAACAUGACUUCAAAUAUAGAUGAAGCCAUGAGGGUUUCUGCAGAAGACACUGUCAGAACAGAGAAUGCAGAGUGGGAUAAAUUUGUCCCUAGCAUAACUAAACUUACUUCGAUGGAGUUACAGCAAGGGUGACUUUGGCUCAAUACACUACAACUGCCAGAGAGUGUCACAUGCUUUUAGCUGUGCUACAGACUACAACUGGACAAAGGGAUUCCUUCAAAAUAACUGCCUAUCCUCUUUCUUCUCAGUCUUACAGAAACCUACUUACCUCAGUAUGAGCUAAAGAACAUGUCUUUACAAUUCUUUUUAAAGAUUGGAUUGUAUCAUACUUUGUAAAUAUUGUAGAUAUUUAUUUUUAUAUAUUUUAGAUGCUGUGAAAUGUUCUAAAAUAUAUCAUAUAAAGAAAUGUAAGUAUUUGAAAGAAGGCUCAAACAUGAUUUAUUUAUAUCCUCUUUCUAGAAAUGAUUGACUCACGUACAAGGAAUGCUUACUUAUGCACUAGUGAUAUCCUGGCAUUACUUUGCACUUCUUUUUCUGCAAAUCCACUUGUAAUUUGAGUGCCUAAAAAAUAACCAUUUAAAUAAAACUUAUGUGAUGCUCAAAGGUGCUAUAGGCUCAAAUUUCCUACUCAGGCCAACAGGAAUAACAAGUGUCAGCACCACUGAAGGUCAGGACAUUUUAACUUUGGUAGCUCAUUUUAGUCUGUAAUGUUUAAGAGUUGCUCUAGAAGAUCUCUUAAAAUCUUUGACACAGGAAAUAUUAGUUGUCUUUCAUUUUCAUGACUUCUCUCUCAACUGCUAUUUAAUACUAAAGAUACAAUCAAUUUACAAAUCUACUAAUCUGUUAUAAAUCUAUAUGGGAUAAUCUCUCUGGCCUGGAGCUUCCUACUAUGUAUUGUGUUUUUCUCCUUAAAAGGAUGAAGAUGGUGCAUCACUGGAGAUUUCAUCUUCUAGAAGAAUGUGGUCUAUUGGUUAGAAGAAGGCUAAUUAUCAGAAACUGAGAUACGAUUUCCCUGUGGUACUAAUUUUGUGUUUCAGUCCAGAUUUUUCAAAAGAAAGGGUAAGAGGAGAGCGAGGACUUUGUUUUUCAUUAAAAAGAAUUUGGCCUAGAAAGAAGACUGUGUCAUAUAUUCAAAUGUUUCUGUAAAGCCGAUUGUUAAUUGACCAGGUUUUAUUUGAUUACCUUUUGUAAAUAUUUUUUCUAGGUUCUCCUUUGACCUAGUGUCAUGCAAUGUACUGUCUAUCAUGGCAACUAUAGUUUUAUGAAGUGCUCAAUCAUUUUAUGCUUUUGCCUUCCCCAACAGCUGUUUUACUUGACAUUGUUGCAAUUCCUCCUAGUUUACACUGGUGUUAAGUGAGAGAAAGGGAUUUGCAUUCAUUUGUAUAUUCAAGUUUUCUAUUUAAAGAUAAAAAGGAGAAUACUCUUUUUUUGAUUAAAAAAGAAUAAAGAAAAAUAUAUAAAUGGACAGAAUGUUUAAGUAUCAAAUAAAAUAAUAGGAAUUUCAAUAUUCCUAUGUGUAAGCCUAAUUUUUAAGUAUAGCUAUUAUGUCAAUGUUAUUUCAAGAAAUUAUUUUGCUUUGUCUCUUCUAAGAAAAUAAAACCCAAAUAAUUGUGGAAAGCACCGCAGGAUUUGAUUUCAUAGCUAUCUCAAUUCCUUUACUAUGAGAAGGCUAUUUUUGCUCUUCAACCAUGGAAAAUGCAGAAUUGUUAAGGAGUGUUGAACAAGAUAUAUCUUUUUUAUAUAUAUAAUUUGAAAUGAUUGAACAAACAGCUGCGGAAUUAAAAAUUAAUUAAAAUUAAUAUUUACAGAUAUGGGAAAAUGGA